rnacentral:rRNA from 1 species
UAACACAUGCAAGUCGAGCGGAAACGAGUUAUNUGACCCUUCGGGUGACGAUAACGGCGUCGAGCGGCGGACGGGUGAGUAAUGCCUGGGAAAUUGCCCUGAUGUGGGGGAUAACCAUUGGAAACGAUGGCUAAUACCGCAUAAUAGCUUCGGCUCAAAGAGGGGGACCUUCGGGCCUCUCGCGUCAGGAUAUGCCCAGGUGGGAUUAGCUAGUUGGUGAGGUAAGGGCUCACCAAGGCGACGAUCCCUAGCUGGUCUGAGAGGAUGAUCAGCCACACUGGAACUGAGACACGGUCCAGACUCCUACGGGAGGCAGCAGUGGGGAAUAUUGCACAAUGGGCGCAAGCCUGAUGCAGCCAUGCCGCGUGUAUGAAGAAGGCCUUCGGGUUGUAAAGUACUUUCAGCAGUGAGGAAGGUAGUAGUGUUAAUAGCGCUAUUAUUUGACGUUAGCUGCAGAAGAAGCACCGGCUAACUCCGUGCCAGCAGCCGCGGUAAUACGGAGGGUGCGAGCGUUAAUCGGAAUUACUGGGCGUAAAGCGCAUGCAGGUGGAUGAUUAAGUCAGAUGUGAAAGCCCGGGGCUCAACCUCGGAAUAGCAUUUGAAACUGGUCAUCUAGAGUACUGUAGAGGGGGGUAGAAUUUCAGGUGUAGCGGUGAAAUGCGUANAGAUCUGAAGGAAUACCGGUGGCGAAGGCGGCCCCCUGGACAGAUACUGACACUCAGAUGCGAAAGCGUGGGGAGCAAACAGGAUUAGAUACCCCUGNUAGUCCACGCCGUAAACGAUGUCUACUUGGAGGUUGUGGGCCUUGAGCCGUGGCUUUCGGAGCUAACGCGUUAAGUAGACCGCCUGGGGAGUACGGUCGCAAGAUUAAA